UACGUAGGGGGCAAGCGUUGUCCGGAAUCAUUGGGCGUAAAGCGCGCGUAGGCGGCUCGAUCAGUCUGCUGUAAAAAGUCAAAGGCUCAACCUUUGAAUGCCGGUGGAUACUGUCGGGCUAGAGUCCGGAAGAGGCGAGUGGAAUUCCUGGUGUAGCGGUGGAAUGCGCAGAUAUCAGGAGGAACACCAACGGCGAAGGCAGCUCGCUGGGACGGUACUGACGCUAAGGCGCGAAAGCGUGGGGAGCGAACGAGG
rnacentral:rRNA from 1 species